rnacentral:lncRNA from 1 species
CAAAAUUCUCUUUGGGUGAGGUAGAAGUGCUUUUUCAUUCUAAUUUAUAAAAUGAACAUUUGAAGUGGAAUUUGAACAGACAUAGUCAUACUGGAAAGUAAUCUUGACAACAUGAAUCCAGGCCACUGAAAUGUUCAUGUUCCUUUUGUCUAACAAUUCAUUUUUUUGAGCUCUCAUUUAAAUAAAUGCAGGCGAGAAAUGAGGCUUUGAUUUUUCCAGUUUACAAGGAAACCAAAGAAGCCAUAGAAAUGAUAUUUAAGGACUUUGGACUUGGCUUCUAUAAUAGGAUGUCAGAGGAGAAUGGAAUCAUUAGAGGAGACACAGAGUAGAUGAAAUAAUUAUGAGAAAAGUGAAUGAAAUAACAUUAGAGCAACAUUAUAACAAUUAGCUAAAGCAUCCCUGCACAACUGGAGAAAACUGGUAAGUUUUACCACUACUUGCAU